UGCGGAAAUGGGCUUCUGUAGUUGUGUGAAUGCAUCAUUCCAGCCAAUCCAACCAAUCAGGUGUAGAGACCAUGGUGACUGGCUCCGCCCCCUUACUGUCAAAAACAGCGAGCGCGCAGAAAACACCUUCUCGAGUAUGUUGUUUUUCACAUGAACGCAACUUUUGACCUGGGUUUGGCUCCAUGCUCGAGCGCUCAAAUUCUGGUUUUGCAAGCGAGCAAAUAGCUCCCGCGAGGUGGACUUAUGCUCUCUCGAGACCGACUUUUGGUCGCGCGUGAUUUGCGCUCUCGGGUUUUGACAGUAAUUUGCCUUCGUAGUGUGGGUUGUUGUGAGUCCGUUUCGAUCCGCUUCUUCACUGCAUUGCCCACAAUCAUCGGUCCUUACAGGGUACAACGCUGCAGUUCGCCCAUCUGGCCGACAGGUGGCAGUGACGACUACACUUUGAAAAAAAAAGCUAAACUUUAAGUGAAAAAACAGAAGGGGAGAAGAAAGGGGAAAGGAAAGAAGCUAGCGGCGCAGAGGUGAACUUUAGCGUGCAGCUAGCUCACAACUUUACCAACUCUCUGCGGUCGGCCGCAGCUUCCUUUCAGCCCGGUUCAGUCAGAGGAAACGAGGGCGCGAACAGCUGACUGACUUCCCCUUGUUUCACGCCGGCUUUGGUCAAACGCCACGCAUUGGUUCUUGUCAUCGAG
ensembl:lncRNA